AAUACUUGCUUAAAAUUCAUUUAAUCUUAGAUAUUUGUGUUCGUCUAAAGCAAUCAUUCACCAUAUUGGAAAAUUUGAAGAUGAAAAAUACUAAAUUGGUUUUCAUUAAUAAAAUACAAGUCAAUCACAAUGAAUAUGAUACUAUUGAACCAUUUGUGCUAGUUUUAGAGUGAAGUGAAAAUUCUUAUAUCUUUAGGAGAUUUGGGUUUUUGUGGUAAAUGGAUGUAUGGAAUUUGUAUCAACUUCAUUACCGGUGAAUCAGAGCCUUAUUAUAGAGUUGUAUCCAUCAAAAGGAAUUAGAAAAAAUGGUCCUUUAGCCAUUCUAUUAUUCCUUGGCAUUAUAGAAGGGUUGGUUAGUUUGGUAAGGAAAACAAGAUCCAAGAGUAUGUUAUAUAAGGGUAAAACUAAGGGAAAGUCUAGUUGACGUGGGAUUACUACAAUUUGCAAAUGAUACAUUUUUCAUAUGUGAGGCAGACAUGAAAAAUAUUGUAGUGUUGAAAAGUACUUUAAGAUUAUUUAAAUUAGGAGUAUGACAUGUAAAAUCUUGAUCAUGUUUUACUAUUCGUACUCAUGUUGCAAGAAGUAAACUAAGUAUUAUUUUAACUUGGUCACUCUUCUAUUCAUAGAGGUCUUGAGGAAAAGUAAUCCUUACAAAGCGUUUUUAGUCGACAUAUAGUCUUGAAAUAUUCUUUGUUCUUCAAGUUGUGUUUGCCCUAGUAAAACAUUAAGAGUAAUGAUCAAAUGACUCCUUUUUUUUACUAUUUCUCUUACCACCUUACCUGGCCUGACAUAUUUAAUUUUUUAUAUUUUUUUAUAAUUUAAUUAAAAUUUGAAUUCAUUAUACGGAAGCUCAACGUUGUCACUCGCGCGUGUGUGAAACCCACCACCAAACCCUUUUCUCUUCAUCACAAAACCCUUUCCCCAAACCCCUCUCUCCUUUUUAGUUUUCAAAAAUCCACAAACCCUGAACCUUCAAUUACGAACCCCACCCACAUUUGACGAACACCACCCGCGCACACACACGAAACAAAACUUGCUCCCCUCCACUGUGAAAAAUCGAAAACCAAUUUCUCCUUUUCCCUCCACUCAAGUUAUCUCCUUUAACCACACAAGAAUUGCGAAACCAUCGAACCCAAUUCUUGCAAGAAGGGCGAAAGCCACCGAAGAAUCCCACUAUAAUCAAGAAGCACCAACCAAAUAUAUCUUUUUUCUCCUCCACUGUGAGAAAUCCAUAAACUCGUUUCUCUUUUCCCCUCCACGUUGUUCUGACGACAAACACCACAAAAAUCGCGAACACCAAAGAAUCACACCUACAAGAAGCGCAAAAGCCACCGAACAACCAUCCCAUAAAGAAGCAAACACGAAAGGGUAACAUUUUCUCCAUUUUCGGUUAGGGUUUAUCUGUUCAACCAUUGUAAUGUUUUCCUACUUGGUUUGAUAUAAUGUUUUUAAGAAAUUGGUCAUUCUAUGGAUUUAAUGGUUUUGAGAAGUUCGAUUGGUUGUGAAUUUUGUGGUUUUAUGCAUUUUGAUAUCUUGUGGUUCUAUUGGUCUUUGCUCAUAUUGUGACUUUUGUGACUUGAUGGUUGUCAGUGAAAUACAAUCUAGCAAGGAAUUGAGCUACCAUAUGGUGUUAUUUUUUCCAUUUUCCAUUUUUAUUUUUGUUGAUUUGUUUCAGCAGUGGCGCAACUAAUAUGUACAUCAGUUUGUGAAGCUAAAUCGUGAUGGUUGGGUAAAAUAAGUUGUUUGCCAGACUAUUAUUACAAAGUGUAUAUUUGUGGUUAAUCGCGAAGUAAUAGUUAGGUGUGGUCUUCCCUAUUAUAUUUUUUCAAUAGUAGUGUUGUAUUCAUUGUUUUCCUCAAUUAUCUAUUUUGGUGAUUGAAGCUUUAUAUUUGAAUACAUGUGUGUGUUUAUGUAUCUUGGAAAAGUGUUACCAUUCAAUGAAUAAUAUAUCCCAUGUGUGUAAGCAUGAGAUAUUUUAUUUACAAUAUAUCCUCUGUGUGUAACCAUUAAUUAUUUGAUUUAUAUUUUUUUUGGUGAAGUGAAAAUCUGAUUUGGGAAUGAUGAGUGAUGUUAGUGAAGACGAUGGUUGUACAACUUAGAGGAAGAUUUAUUUCAGACAUUCAUGUCGGACGCAAUAUGUUGGUUCUUUGAAUAAAAGCUUAACACCAGAACAAAUUAUUUGUCUAGAAAAAACACCAUUUGCCUGGAUGCCCAAGUUGAAAGAGUCUAUGAAGAUAAGUAGAAAUCUUCUGAAUGAGUUGGUUAAUGUGUGGGUUGAGAGGAGAGGAGGUUUUUGCCUUAGUAAAGAAAUUGUUAGAUUUUCUUUAUUAGAUUUAUGCUUAGGUUUAGGGUUGAGGGUGGUUGGAACUAAAUUUGAUUUGAAUGAGGGUUUUGCUCAUAGUGAGUGUAGGAAACACUUUGAUGAUGAAAAUGUUGAUGUCAAAAUCAUUUAUGAAUUCUUAUUGCAACAUCAUGAAGAUUUAAGUGUAGUUGAUUUUUGUAGAUUGUAUGUAUUGAUAGGCAUAUGUGAGUUUCUAUUGUCAAGUCGCAGUGGUAGAAUUUUUCCAAUAUUGUUCAACAUUGUGGAUGACAUUGAAAGUCUUGAAAAAUAUAAUUUAGGUAGUCUUGUGCAUGAAUACUUGGUUGGGAGUCUAUGUACUGCUUCAUUGUUGUUGAGAGAUGAAGGAAAUGCAAAAUACUUUCAUGUGGAUGGUUGUGUUUAUUUGUUACAGUUAUGGGCUUUUGAGCAUUUGUUGAUUUGGAAGAGAAAAGGAGGAACUCCCACCACCCAAUUCCCAUGAAUAUUGCAUUGGAUGGAUGUUAAAGUUUUGCAUGAUGUUGUCGUGUCAGAAGAAGAGCUUAAACAUGUUGUUGUUCAAAAAGGUUUUCAUGAAUAUGGGUAUGGAUUUGGCAAAGUUCAAAUGAUAGAUGAAGGAGGGGGGUUUUUACAAGAGAAUGAAGAGCUUAUGCAUGAAAUUUUACAACAAGAAGCGACUAUUAAGGAACUUAAGCAAUCAAUUCAUAAUCGAAAAGCAAAGAUGAAGGAGAGGAGCAAACAACUGCCUAACGAAUAUUUUCCAUGUUAUGAAGAAAAUGGUUCUCUUGCUCACACACAUCAUAAUAGUUUUGAUUUGGGUGGCAAUUCUGUUGUUGAAGAUCAUGAAGUUCAUAAAAGUAAUGAAAUUUGUGUCCAAAUGGAGGAAAGCAAUGUGUAUGCGCGAAUGAAGCAUCAACCACGCACACGUUACAAAAGUCGUUCUAUUCGAACUCCGUAUGCAAGUUAUGGGAUAAGGAGGUUGAUGAAAUAGUUGGAAAAUAUAAUGAUGUGUGAAAUAAUUUGAAUUAGAAGUACUUUAUGACCUUCUUAUAUAUGAACAAUGUUCUUUAAAAAGUACUUCUUAGUAUU